rnacentral:rRNA from 1 species
CCCUUAGAUGUUCUGGGCCGCACGCGCGCUACACUGAUGCAUUCAACGAGUUUCUUCCUGGUCCGAGAGGAAUGGGUAACCUUUUGAAAGUGCAUUGUGAUAGGGAUAGACUAUUGCAAUUAUUGGUCUUCAACGAGGAAUUCCUAGUAGACGUAGUUCAUCAGACUGCAUCGAUUACGUCCCUGCCCUUUGUACACACCGCCCGUCGCUGCCCGGAACUGAGCCGUUUCGAGAAGACUGAGGAUUGCUGACUUGAGGCCUUCACGGGCUUCUAGUCGGUGAAAAUCAAUUUAAUCGCAGCGGCUUGAACCGGGCAAAAGUCGUAACA